GUGUGUGUGUGUGUGUGUGAGUGUGUGCGCGAGUGUGCGCGCGCGCGUGUGAGAGAGAAAGGGCGAGAGAGAGGGGGACUCUUGUGUGAGGGAAAGAAAACAAUUUCUCCUGCUCUGCAGCUUCUGUUCAGGAUCAAUGUGACUCUAGAAACAAAUGGAUGAAUGAAUAUCCAUAUGAAGAGGAAAACCAUAAAGGUUGGUUACUCACCGUGUCUGCACCAGAAGUGUCACUAUUCUCUUGAGUGGGACACUGUGCAUCCCUAAGAGCAUUUCUCUGCCUGAAUGAGACAGCAGUCAUUCAGUGUAGCAGUCACCGUAUGCAAGCAUCAUUGUUCUUUCUGUCCCUUUAAACCUACAGAUAUUUGCAGAUAUUUAAAAACAGGGUAUGGCUUUUGCUCUUUAUACAAGUGUACUAUCAUUAUUUUUCAGACGUAAUUUUUAUUUAUUUACCUAUUUAUUUACUUAUUUGUUUGUUUGUUCACUUAUUUGGUGCUAUGCCUCAUGUGUCGAAGGCUGGCCUCACGCUUACUGUGUACCGAGCAGGACCUUCAGCUUGGCAUCCUGUGUCUCUCUGGUGCUGAGGUUACAGGAAUCUGCCACUGCCUUGAGUUCAUUUAGUGCUAGGGCUUGAACUCAAAGCUUUCUGCAUGUCAGGCCAGCUGCAAAGCAACUGAACUAAAUCUGCAGCUAUGAAACUUGCAUUUUAAGAAUCGAAUUUUAGAUGAACAUCAAAAACGAUAGAAAUUUUAGAAUGACAGAUCACUAAGC
rnacentral:lncRNA from 1 species